GAUGAACGCUGGCGGCGUGCCUAAUACAUGCAAGUCGAGCGAACAGACGAGGAGCUUGCUCCUCUGACGUUAGCGGCGGACGGGUGAGUAACACGUGGAUAACCUACCUAUAAGACUGGGAUAACUUCGGGAAACCGGAGCUAAUACCGGAUAAUAUAUUGAACCGCAUGGUUCAAUAGUGAAAGACGGUUUUGCUGUCACUUAUAGAUGGAUCCGCGCCGCAUUAGCUAGUUGGUAAGGUAACGGCUUACCAAGGCGACGAUGCGUAGCCGACCUGAGAGGGUGAUCGGCCACACUGGAACUGAGACACGGUCCAGACGCCUACGGGAGGCAGCAGUAGGGAAUCUUCCGCAAUGGGCGAAAGCCUGACGGAGCAACGCCGCGUGAGUGAUGAAGGUCUUCGGAUCGUAAAACUCUGUUAUUAGGGAAGAACAAAUGUGUAAGUAACUAUGCACGUCUUGACGGUACCUAAUCAGAAAGCCACGGCUAACUACGU
rnacentral:rRNA from 1 species